rnacentral:rRNA from 1 species
GCCUACGGGGGGCAGCAGUAGGGAAUCUUCCACAAUGGGCGAAAGCCUGAUGGAGCAACGCCGCGUGGGUGAAGAAGGUCUUCGGAUCGUAAAACCCUGUUGUUAGAGAAGAAAGUGCGUGAGAGUAACUGUUCACGUUUCGACGGUAUCUAACCAGAAAGCCACGGCUAACUACGUGCCAGCAGCCGCGGUAAUACGUAGGUGGCAAGCGUUAUCCGGAUUUAUUAGGCGUAAAGGGAACGCAGGCGGUCUUUUAAGUCUGAUGUGAAAGCCUUCGGCUUAACCGGAGUAGUGCAUUGGAAACU